UUACCUUCAGCAGCACAUAUACUAAAACUGGAACAAUACAGAGAUUAAUAUGGCCCCUGUGCAAGUAUUCCAUAUUUUUUCUAAAAAGAUAAAUAAUGAUGU